UCUCAUGGGAGUGCUUACCAAUGUGUGGCC
rnacentral:piRNA from 1 species